AGAGAGAGAGACAUGGAGCUGCUUUCUCCGGCAGCGGCUGUGAUCGGCUUCAGAGAGCGGCGCUCAGAGCCGGUGUGAGGGAGCCUCGCUGGGAGAAAGGAGCGGAGAGAAUUUACAAGUCCUCGAUAAUGGUUAAAAAAAAACAAAAAAGCCCCUUCAGCCCCGGAUACUCAAGGAGUUCGUGACUCAAGAGACUUGCCAACUGCUGAUUGGGAAGAUGAUUGGUCAGCCAGAGAGACAAAGGUCAGGGAGGUCGGGAGCCUUCAAUAAAUCCUGCCGCCAGCACCUCCUCUUCGAUAAUGUGGACGCAUUUCAAGACAUUGGCUCAUAGAGAUGUACAGCAUGGAAACAGAUCCUUUGGACCAACUCCUGCAUGACGUAUCUAGUCACAUUU